rnacentral:rRNA from 2 species
GGUCCCUAUCUGCCGUGGGCGCUGGAGAACUGAGGGGGGCUGCUCCUAGUACGAGAGGACCGGAGUGGACGCAUCACUGGUGUUCGGGUUGUCAUGCCAAUGGCACUGCCCGGUAGCUAAAUGCGGAAGAGAUAAGUGCUGAAAGCAUCUAAGCACGAAACUUGCCCCGAGAUGAGUUCUCCCUGAGACUUAAAGUCUCCUGAAGGAACGUUGAAGACGACGACGUUGAUAGGCCGGGUGUGUAAGCGCAGCGAUGCGUUGAGCUAACCGGUACUAAUGAACCGUGAGGCUUAACCUUACAACGCCGAAG